GAUGAACGCUGGCGGUAUGCUUAACACAUGCAAGUCGAACGGACUCUUCGGAGUUAGUGGCGGACGGGUGAGUAACGCGUGAGAAUCUGGCUUUGGGUUCGGGACAACCACUGGAAACGGUGGCUAAUACCGGAUGUGCCGAGAGGUAAAAGAGAAAUUGCCUGAAGAUGAGCUCGCGUCUGAUUAGCUAGUUGGUGAGGUAAAGGCUCACCAAGGCAGCGAUCAGUAGCUGGUCUGAGAGGAUGACCAGCCACACUGGGACUGAGACACGGCCCAGACUCCUACGGGAGGCAGCAGUGGGGAAUUUUCCGCAAAGGGCGAAAGCCUGACGGAGCAAUACCGCGUGAGGGAAGAAGGCUCUUGGGUUGUAAACCUCUUUUCUUAGGGAAGAACAAAAUGACGGUACCUAAGGAAUCAGCAUCGGCUAACUCCGUG
rnacentral:rRNA from 1 species